UCGGAUGUGGUGUACAGUGCACGUCUGUUUAGAUUAUGCAGUGAGCAACUACAAGCAGGAAGCCCGGGUUCGACUCCCGGCGUCCGAA